GGCAACGGCCAUACCACGUUGAAGGCACCGGUUCUCGUCCGAUCACCGCAGUUAAGCAACGUUGGGCGCGGUCAGUACUUGGAUGGGUGACCGCUUGGGAACACCGCGUGCCGUUGGCA
rnacentral:rRNA from 2 species